rnacentral:ncRNA from 23 species
GCAACAGAUAGCCAUGCUGGUUCUACGAGAGUAAUCUGCUUAAAAGGGAAGGCCGGUGUAAGUCCGGUGCGGUCCCGCCACUGUAAAUGCGGAGCGACUCCUGAGAAGCCACUGUCUGAUGAUCGGAUGGGAAGGCGGGGGAAGCAAUGAUGCGUAAGCCAGGAGACCUGCCUUUUUCGUUGUUGUUUCU